GAGAGUAUGUGCGCUCACAGGUCUUUUUUUCUAACUUUUUCUUUUCUUUUUGAUUUAAAAAGAGUUAGGUGAGUGCACCUACUCUCUUUUGAAUGUUUGAUUUAAAAUAAAAUAAAAAGUUAGAAAAAAAGACCUGUGAGUGCACCUACUCUC